UUCUUAUAUUAUACAUGCAAGUCUCCGCAACCCAGUGAGAACGCCCUUUAAACCUGCCAACAGGAUAAGGAGCCGGCAUCAGGCACAGAACCCUUGCCCACAACGCCUAGUUUCACCACACCUCCAAAGGUAGUCAGCAGUAAUAAACAUUGUCCAUAGGCGAAAGCCUGAAUCAGCUAAAGAAAAGAGAGUCGGCCAACCCGGUGCCAGCCGCCGCGGCUACACCGUUGGACUCAAGUUAAUGUCAAUCGGCGUCAAGCGUGGUUAAAGAAGCCAUAAAUUAGAGUCCAAUGAAGGCUUAGCUGUUAAAAGCUUACCUAUCAGAAUCCCAAAAACGAAAGUUACUCUAAUUAACCUCUUGAAUACACGACAGUUUGGGCACAAACUGAGAUUAGAUACCCCACUAUGCCAAACCGUAAAUUUAAAUCACACCUAAAAACGCCAGGGUACUACGAGCUUAGCUUAAAACCCAAAGGAUUUGACGGUGUUCCACCCAACUAGAGGAGCCUGUUCUGUAAUCGAUGAUCCACGAUAAACCUAACCAUUUUUUGCUACUCAGCCUGUAUACCUCCGUCGUAAGCCUACCAUUUGAGUGAGAAAAAGUAGGCACAAGGACUUAGAGCCAAUACGUCAGGUCAAGGUGCAGCUUAUAAAAUGGAAGAAAUGGGCUACAAUUUCUAAUUUAGAACACACCAAUUACUGUAUGAAACAAAGUCAUGAAGGUGGAUUUAGCAGUAAGUCGGGAAUAGAGAGCCCCACUUAACCUGGCCAUGGAACGUGUACAAACCGCCCGUCACCCUCUUCGAUAGCCUUAAUAAUUGAUAAAUAACCUAUUAAACGCGCCUUAGAAGAGGUAAGUCGUAACAUGGUAAGUAUACUGGAAAGUGUACUUGGAACAA
rnacentral:ncRNA from 1 species